AUAAAACCAGAAUAAGAUUAAAAAUAAAUGCUUGUUAAGGUCCUUAUACAGAUGCUUUAGGCUGUAUAGUGUGAUAUAAUGGGAAAAUUCCCAGUAGCUUUCCUAGUGGGUAAGCUUUAAAAGCUUUUUUUUUUUUUUACCAGAUUUAAAAAUCAGAUAAACCUGGAUUUGAAUCCUAAGACAAGUCUAUCAUACAACUUAAUUCUACUUCAGCAUAUAAAUACAUAGAUAAUUUAGGCCCCAAAUUAUUACGUCUUAGCUGCAAUUUUAACAUGAGAAAAUUUUAAGGUUGACGUUCCCGAUGGCCAGCUAGUGUAGCCAUGGUGAGCGGGGUGUGGGGAGGAGUUAAUGAAAUGCUCAUGGGGCAUCUAUGAUAAGCAAUUUUACUCCUUGGUGAAUCUUUCAAGAUAAAUUAGUUGCAAAAUGGAUAGGGGUGAAUGCAUCUAAAUCAUCCAAAACUGACUGCAAGUCAUUAACAGGCAAGCUGAAAGGAACUGAGGCUAGAAUUAGAGUUGUAAGACUUACAAUAACCAAGUAAAUUGUAAAAUAUAUUCUAUCAGGAACCAUUCUACAGCGAGCAUGUAAAAAGAUAUAGAGCAUCAAAUUAUGGGGAAAUUAUUUUCUUAGCUAGACCAGUCUAUUUCUCUAUUGAAAUGACCACUAGGAUGCAGGUUAUUGGUGGUGCUAAAGGGAAAAGAAGUAAGAUAUUAUAAAGUGAAAAUUAGGAGAAUUUAGAGUUUUGUUGGAUUAGAAGGCAUAGGAGAAAGAAAGAAGAGAAAUGUGAUUUUUAUCAUGAGAAAUGUUCACCACUAGAAGAAUGAUGUUACCCUUAACAAAAACAAGGAAAGCAAGAAUGAUUUAUAGGGGCUGGAGAUUAAUUCCACAAUCAAAUUGAAAUACCUAACAGGUAGCAGAAAAAGAGGCAAGUAGGUAAGAUGGAGUUUGGAGGUCAGAAGAAUAGGAAAUGAAGUCUUCAUAUUGGGUUCCUUCUUCACCCAUGGGUUUUUGUGUGUUUUUUUUGUUUUGUUUUGUUUUGUUCUUUUAUUGUUGGCACUAUCCCCCUUUCCCCUCACUUUGCCCAUGUUUUGUUAUGAAAAUUUUUAAAUAUAAAUCAGUGCACACCUGUAUAUCCAACCAUCAAUAUUCUACCAUUUACUAUAUUACAUUCCUAACCCUCUAUUAUCUCUAUUCAUCCAUUAUUCCACUUGAAUACUUAAGCAUACUUAUCACUAACUUGAGUUCAAUAUUUGUUUAUGCAUUUUAAUGUAAAAUAUAUACAAUGAAAUGCACAAAUCUUAAGUGUACAUUCCCUGAGUUUUGACAAAUGCAUACAGCUGUGUAACCAAACUCCUAUUGACAUAUAGAACAUUACUAUAAUUUCUGCCACCCCAGGAAAUUUUCUCAUGCCCUUUGCUAGUCAAUCCCUGUUCCCACUCCUCCAGAGGCAGCUAUUCUUCUGAUUUUUCUCCCCAA